AUGCAAGACACAAAAGCUAACUGCAGAUAAAGCUGGCAAUAACAGUGCCAUGAUACAAGCCCUAAGGACAAUCCAAGUCAUUCAGGUCCCUGAGAAUGGCUACAACA
rnacentral:snoRNA from 1 species